rnacentral:rRNA from 1 species
UACGUAGGGGGCUAGCGUUGUCCGGAAUUAUUGGGCGUAAAGAGCUCGUAGGCGGUGUGUCGCGUCGGCCGUGAAAACCUGCAGCUUAACUGUGGGCGUGCGGUCGAUACGGGCAGGCUAGAGUUCGGUAGGGGAGACUGGAAUUCCUGGUGUAGCGGUGAAAUGCGCAGAUAUCAGGAGGAACACCGGUGGCGAAGGCGGGUCUCUGGGCCGAUACUGACGCUGAGGAGCGAAAGCGUGGGGGAGCGAACAGG